CAUAUUUUCUAAGCCUCCCGCUCUCCUUGGCCUCCUCCCUCUCAGAAACUGCAAUGCAGCAGGAGUAUCGACCUCUCUCUCUCCCGGGCAUAGCCUUGCUAUCUGAGUUCGUGCGCUCUACUUGGUUGUGCUUUCUUCAUUUCUGCUGCCUCACAUGCUUCCCUUUUUUCCCUUCUAUUGUUUGGUUUCUGCUAGAGGCCGGAGGUUCCUUGAUCUUUUUGUAUCUCCUCCACGUUCUUGUUGGCUCCACAAAGAGAAAAGCUUGAUAUUUGAGACGUUUUCCAUUAGUGGGCAUCUGAGUCUACCCAAUCCAGUUGUAUUCUAAACUCCACGGUCUUCCCACUUUUGCAUCCCUUGCUAGGAGAGCUUUAAUCAGUUCCUAGUGCUUCUAUGGUUUUGUACGCUUGUAACUGUUUUAUCUCAUGUUCUACAAUCUUCUAUGGACCUAUGGUGAUUGUUUUCGCUUGUUCUGCAUGCGUUGUAUCCGAAGUCUGCUAUGGAUUAUGUGGGCAUAGAUAUUUCUACUUUUCAGUUUUCUAACUGCAGCGUCUUUAGCUGACCGUUAGAAAUUCUUCUGAGGUUUUGAAAGAAAACCAUUUCGAAGGAAGUGCAAAGUUACCUUUCAGUUGAAGUGCAUGCAAAACAAAAUAAUUCUUCAAAAGGAUUGCAACGUGAAAAUGAUACAAUCUUAGUCCUUAUCAUGUUUCAACUGGGGGAACUUUUUCGUUAAAAUGCCUGCAGAAGACAUAAUAAGUCUCCAAAGGAAGCAACUGUUGAUAUAAUGUGAAAACGGUGUACUCUUCAUAUUUCAUCCGAAUGUUGGCAUGAAAUAUGAAUAGAUUUAUUAUGUGAUAUUUGAUGUUUGAGCUCUGCAAAGACAUGUAAAUUUUGAGAAGCCACUAAAACAUCACUGGAACCCAAUGAGUUUAUCUGCAAUUUGUUAGAAGGGAACAGUGGCCAUUUAAUCACUUGGGGCUUCGCAAAUGGCAAAAGAGACGGCCUAGACUGAACAUGAACGACUCACUCGUUCUUAUGUUCAUAUCGCUAUUCAGUAGAUUAUUUGGAGGUUAUGUACUUACAUACUGGAGAGUUCAUUACAUUAUGGAUUGAGAUUUAAUAACAUCAUGAACAUUACUUCAUUGGGUUAGUCAAUUGGCAACAGUGACUUGAUGCCUAGAUUGAAGUAUGACUAGUUGGUUCAAGUUUGGCUUCAAAUAAAGUUAGAUACCGGAAAACUUAAUAGAUAAAUUUAAAUUUAUAACCGAUUGGGUUGAUACUAAGACCCAGAACCUGUCGUUGUUCUGGUGGCAUCCUAGGCCCUUAAGAACUUUAUCACACCCACUGCUUCAUUACAUUAAUCUUCAAAAAUAGAAUGAACAAUGACAAGAGAUAAUCAAUUAAAGUGUUUAUUCUUUCCAUAUAGCUUGCAUUUUUUGCAGUUUUGGUGCACAGGUAUAAAACCAACAGACAAUGAAAUCAAUGCACACAAGUGGAGAUCCAACUACUUUAAUUCUGGCUGUCCAACCCAAUUUUAGGUCAUCCAAACUGUAUUAAUUGUUGAAGAGGCUUAUUGAUGCAAAUAAUUUGACUUCAGUUUGCACGUAAUAAAUGUUGAAUGGGGACAUGAUAUGCAAUCUCUGAAUCGCAUAAGAGGAUUCAGCUUUGGUUGAAGAUUUUGGACAAGUAUAGGCCUUUAACUUUGCACUAGCAGAUGGUUAAAACUAUAGCUCGUUUUAGAUCUUUGGUCUAUAUAUAAUAGCAUAUACGGAUAUACCAGGUUGAGCUGUCUGGCAUUACAUAUCUGGUCCUUUUGAAGUUCAUUGUGAAGAAUGAUUGGCUGAUUUAACUUCUGUUUUUUUAAUAAUCUCUGUCAAAUUGUCUGUUCAUUUAAUACUUGACUGGCGAUAUUGCCAAUUAUUGAUUAUGGUGAAAUGGGUGGAAAAUCCCUUACUAUUCUGAGGUCAACCAUGUGCAGGUUGUGAAGUCGUAACAACUAAGAUCAUCUCUCUCUGUAAAGGAUGGACCUCACUCAGUUAAAUAUUGGCCAAGAGUUUGUUGAUGCUGACUCGUGUCAAAAGGCCAUUGAAGAAUUUGUAUUGUCUUCAGGGUUCACCCUUAAAAUAAUAGAGAAAUCUCAUUUUCUUUUAGCCAAGUGUGCCAGUGGAACAUGUCUAUGGUGUCUUCAUGCUUCAGAGCAUUCAAAUGGCUCAACUUCCGUAAUAAAGAUUUUGAAGAGGAGACAUACCUGUGUGGGCACUCAUUUAAACUUGCUCAUCAUCAGGAUUCAGAAAAUUUGGUAACACUGCCUGUGAAAUAUGACGUGUUUAUACUUACUAAAUAAAACGUGAUUGAUUAUUCAAGAUUGAGUAGUUUCUUGUUUAUAAAUAGAAACAAAUUUUUUUGUCUCUCUCCCAUACAUACACACAUGGAUGAAAUAUUGCUGAUGUUUCAUUUGAUGGAUGUUGAUGCUGACCGUUAGGAUCAUCAUUUUGAAGUUCCUCACUGUGGGAGCAGGCCUUUGUGCAUGAAAAGAACAGCAGUGCCAUACUAUCAGAUAUAUGAGAAAAUAUAUAAGUGUGGGCCUAAAGUUGGUCCUCAUGACAGUGGGGUGCUUUUAAGCCUAAUGGUUCAUCUCAAGAAGAUAUGACUUAAUUUCAGGCAAUCCAUUUGGCAUGUGUAUUUUGCAUCUGAUGCAUGUUGAGCCACAUUAUUGAAUGUGACAAAGUUUGCUGCAUGUAACAGACUCUCUACUUUGCUUCUCAUUGCAAAAGCAACUUCAUCAGUUAUAGUGAUACAAACGAAGUCCUCAGUCUCUAAGCGUCGUGCGGACAUUCCAACUACACGAGCGAUGUCAAAGAGCAUUAAGCUUACUCUUAAACUGGACAAGUUUGAGGCUGAAUAGGAAGCAAAGUGGAGAUGGAGAGGUACAUGCUGAUGGAGAGUUGCUUGAAGAAAAACCAUGUCCAUGCCCAAGCAAAGGAUGAUGGAUAGGUACCAUUUCAAUGCAGAUAAUGUAGGGAAAGAAGUACUUGCAGAAAGAAAUGAAAAAGAUGGGACAACAGAAUUACGUAGUGAAGGGGAGGUUGGAAGGGAAAGGUGGACAAAGGAGCGAUGAAGAAGAGGGACGUGUUAAAGCAGAGGAAGAAAAACAGGCUGCAAGCCUGCAAUUGCACUGCAGAUAAGAAGAGCAUCUGCACAGUAACCCUCUAAACAACAGUCAGGAUCUGUGAAACCAAACAGAAGAUGAAACGUCGAGAUUUUGCAAAUCUGAAAUGGUUUAUUCUUGGGUUCGUCUUGUUAAAGACAUGUAAAAUAUAAAUUGCUUUGAUUUCAUAGUGUGAAAUACUGUCUCAAGCCUCAAGAAAGUUUAGGCACUAGCACUGCAGGU